rnacentral:rRNA from 1 species
CCUACGGGGGGCUGCAGUAGGGAAUAUUGCUCAAUGGGGGAAACCCUGAAGCAGCAACGCCGCGUGGAGGAUGAAGGUUUUCGGAUUGUAAACUCCUUUUGUUAGAGAAGAUAAUGACGGUAUCUAACGAAUAAGCACCGUCUAACUCCGUGCCAGCAGCCCCGGUAAUACGGAGGGUGCAAGCGUUACUCGGAAUCACUGGGCGUAAAGAGCGCGUAGGCGGGAUAGCAAGUCAGAUGUGAAAUCCUAUGGCUUAACCAUAGAACUGCAUUUGAAACUGGUAGUCUAGAGUAGGGGAGAGGUAGGUGGAAUUCUUGGUGUAGCGGUGAAAUGCGUAGAGAUCAAGAAGAAUACUGAUUGCGAAGGCGACCUGCUAGAACAUAACUGACGCUGAUGCGCGAAAGCGUGGGGAGCAAACAGGAUUAGAUACCCUUGUAGUC